rfam:Schistosoma rodhaini strain Burundi genome assembly, scaffold: SROB_scaffold0002476
AUCCAGUUGACGAAUCCCAAAUAGGACGAAACAUGGGUCCUGAAU